rnacentral:rRNA from 1 species
AGAGUUUGAUCCUGGCUCAGGAUGAACGCUGGCGGCACGCUUAACACAUGCAAGUCGAGCGGAGUAAAGGCUUCGGUUUUUACUUAGCGGCGGACGGGUGAGGAACGCGUGGGUAAUCUGCCCUAUACAGGGGAAUAACACUGAGAAAUUAGUGAUAAAACCGCAUAAGCCCACGGGGUCGCAUGGCCCUGUGAGAAAAACUCCGGUGGUAUAGGAUGAGCCCGCGUCCGAUUAGCUGGUUGGUGAGGUAACGGCCCACCAAGGCGACGAUCGGUAGCCGGUCUGAGAGGAUGGACGGCCACAUUGGGACUGAGACACGGCCCAAACUCCUACGGGAGGCAGCAGUGGGGAAUAUUGCACAAUGGGGGGAACCCUGAUGCAGCGAUGCCGCGUGAAGGAAGACGGUUUUCGGAUUGUAAACUUCUAUCAGCGAGGAAGAGAACGGACAGUACUCGAGUAAGCAGCCCCGGCUAACUACGUGCC